rnacentral:rRNA from 1 species
AGGAUGAACGCUAGCGACAGGCUUAACACAUGCAAGUCGAGGGGCAGCAUAAAAGUAGCAAUACGUUGGUGGCGACCGGCGCACGGGUGAGUAACGCGUAUGCAACCUACCUAUCAGAGGGGAAUAACCCGGCGAAAGUCGGACUAAUACCGCAUAAAACAGGGACACCGCAUGGUGAUAUUUGUUAAAGAAAUUCGCUGAUAGAUGGGCAUGCGUUCCAUUAGGUAGUUGGUGAGGUAACGGCUCACCAAGCCGACGAUGGAUAGGGGAACUGAGAGGUUGGUCCCCCACACUGGUACUGAGACACGGACCAGACUCCUACGGGAGGCAGCAGUGAGGAAUAUUGGUCAAUGGGCGAGAGCCUGAACCAGCCAAGUCGCGUGAAGGAAGAAGGAUCUAUGGUUCGUAAACUUCUUUUGCAGGGGAAUAAAGUGCAGGACGUGUCCUGUUUUGUAUGUACCCUGAGAAUAAGGAUCGGCUAACUCCGUGCCAGCAGCCGC